rnacentral:rRNA from 1 species
AACGAACGCUGGCGGCAGGCCUAACACAUGCAAGUCGAGCGCCCCGCAAGGGGAGCGGCGGACGGGUGAGUAACGCGUGGGAACGUACCCUUUGCUACGGAAUAGCCUCGGGAAACUGGGAGUAAUACCGUAUGUGCCCUUCGGGGGAAAGAUUUAUCGGCAAAGGAUCGGCCCGCGUUGGAUUAGGUAGUUGGUGGGGUAAUGGCCUACCAAGCCGACGAUCCAUAGCUGGUUUGAGAGGAUGAUCAGCCACACUGGGACUGAGACACGGCCCAGACUCCUACGGGAGGCAGCAGUGGGGAAUCUUAGACAAUGGGCGCAAGCCUGAUCUAGCCAUGCCGCGUGAGCGAUGAAGGCCUUAGGGUUGUAAAGUCCUUUCAGAUGGGAAGAUAAUGACGGUACCAUCAGAAGAAGCCCCGGCUAACUCCGUG